rnacentral:rRNA from 1 species
ACGGGAGGCAGCAGUGAGGAAUAUUGGUCAAUGGGCGAGAGCCUGAACCAGCCAAGUAGCGUGCAGGAUGACGGCCCUAUGGGUUGUAAACUGCUUUUAUGUGGGAAUAAAGUGACUUACGUGUAGGUUUUUGCAUGUACCACAUGAAUAAGGACCGGCUAAUUCCGUGCCAGCAGCCGCGGUAAUACGGAGGAUCCGAGCGUUAUCCGGAUUUAUUGGGUUUAAAGGGUGCGCAGGCGGCUUUCUAAGUCAGUGGUUAAAUAGCGGUGCUCAACGCCGUCCCGCCAUUGAUACUGGAGAGCUUGAUUGCGGUCGAGGUUUGCGGAAUUCGUCGUGUAGCGGUGAAAUGCAUAGAUAUGACGAAGAACACCGAUUGCGUAGGCAGCAGACCAGGCCGUAAAUGACGCUCAUGCACGAAAGUGCGGGGAUCGAACAGGAUUAGAUACCCUGGUA